rnacentral:rRNA from 1 species
AGUUUGAUCCUGGCUCAGGAUGAACGCUAGCGGCAGGCUUAACACAUGCAAGUCGAGGGGUAGGAUUCUUCGGAAUCUGAGACCGGCGCACGGGUGCGUAACGCGUAUGCAAUCUGCCUUUCACAGAGGGAUAGCCCAGAGAAAUUUGGAUUAAUACCUCAUAGCAUAAUGAGUUGGCAUCAGCACAUUAUUAAAGUCACAACGGUGAAAGAUGAGCAUGCGUCCCAUUAGCUAGUUGGUAAGGUAACGGCUUACCAAGGCAACGAUGGGUAGGGGUCCUGAGAGGGAGAUCCCCCACACUGGUACUGAGACACGGACCAGACUCCUACGGGAGGCAGCAGUGAGGAAUAUUGGUCAAUGGGCGCAAGCCUGAACCAGCCAUGCCGCGUGCAGGAUGACGGUCCUAUGGAUUGUAAACUGCUUUUGUACGGGAAGAAACACUCCUUCGUGAAGGAGCUUGACGGUACCGUAAGAAUAAGGAUCGGCUAACUCCGUGCCAGCAGCCGCGGUAAUACGGAGGAUCCAGCGUUAUCCGGAAUCUUGGGUUUAAAGGGUUCGUAGGCGGUCUUGUAAGUCAGUGGUGAAAGCCCAUCGCUCACGGUGGAACGGCCAUUGAUACUGG